rnacentral:rRNA from 1 species
AGGAGCUUGCUCUUCUGGAUGAGUUGCGAACGGGUGAGUAACGCGUAGGUAACCUGCCUGGUAGCGGGGGAUAACUAUUGGAAACGAUAGCUAAUACCGCAUAACAGUAGAUGUUGCAUGACAUUUGCUUAAAAGGUGCAAUUGCAUCACUACCAGAUGGACCUGCGUUGUAUUAGCUAGUUGGUGGGGUAACGGCUCACCAAGGCGACGAUACAUAGCCGACCUGAGAGGGUGAUCGGCCACACUGGGACUGAGACACGGCCCAGACUCCUACGGGAGGCAGCAGUAGGGAAUCUUCGGCAAUGGACGGAAGUCUGACCGAGCAACGCCGCGUGAGUGAAGAAGGUUUUCGGAUCGUAAAGCUCUGUUGUAAGAGAAGAACGAGUGUGAGAGUGGAAAGUUCACACUGUGACGGUAUCUUACCAGAAAGGGACGGCUAACUACGUGCCAGCAGCCGCGGUAAUACGUAGGUCCCGAGCGUUGUCCGGAUUUAUUGGGCGUAAAGCGAGCGCAGGCGGUUAGAUAAGUCUGAAGUUAAAGGCUGUGGCUUAACCAUAGUACGCUUUGGAAACUGUUUAACUUGAGUGCAAGAGGGGAGAGUGGAAUUCCAUGUGUAGCGGUGAAAUGCGUAGAUAUAUGGAGGAACACCGGUGGCGAAAGCGGCUCUCUGGCUUGUAACUGACGCUGA